GACAGAGGGGGCAAGCGUUGCUCGGAAUUACUGGGCGUAAAGGGCGCGUAGGCGGGAUGGCAAGUCGGUCGUGAAAUCCUUCGGCUCAACCGAAGAACGUCGAUCGAUACUGCUGUUCUUGAGGGUUGCAGAGGAGACUGGAAUUCCCGGUGUAGCGGUGAAAUGUGUAGAGAUCGGGAGGAACACCGGUGGCGAAGGCGGCAUCCUGGACCAACACUGACGCUGAGUGAGCGAAAGCCAGGGGAGCAAACGGG
rnacentral:rRNA from 1 species